rnacentral:rRNA from 1 species
AUUGAACGCUGGCGGCAUGCCUUACACAUGCAAGUCGAACGGUAACAGGUCUUCGGAUGCUGACGAGUGGCGAACGGGUGAGUAAUACAUCGGAACGUGCCUAGUAGUGGGGGAUAACUACUCGAAAGAGUGGCUAAUACCGCGUCAGAUCUACGGAUGAAAGCAGGGGAUCGCAAGACCUUGUGCUACUAGAGCGGCAGAUGGCAGAUUAGGUAGUUGGUGGGAUAAAAGCUUACCAAGCCGACGAUCUGUAGCUGGUCUGAGAGGACGAUCAGCCACACUGGGACUGAGACACGGCCCAGACUCCUACGGGUGGCAGCAGUGGGGAAUUUUGGACAAUGGGCGCAAGCCUGAUCCAGCAAUGCCGCGUGCAGGAUGAAGGCCUUCGGGUUGUAAACUGCUUUUGUACGGAACGAAAAGCCCUGGGUUAAUACCCUGGGGUCAUGACGGUACCGUAAGAAUAAGCACCGGCUAACUACGUGCCAGCCGCCGCAGUAAAAC